GGAUCUGGAUGCCUGUGCAGAAAAAUAACAUAACUUUGGUGGUUCCUGUAUAUCAAGAAGACAUUAACAGCAUCAAACAUGCCCUGAGCAGACUACAGAAGGACAAUUAUGGAUCGAUAAAAGUGGGUAUACUUACCCUUGUAUUAUGUUGUAUUACAACAUGGGUAGUGAUUAUGUUGCUGUCAUUCAAACUUUAUGGCAUGUACAUGAACAAGGACAAGCAUCAAGGUAAUUACCAGCACUGUUCCACUGCAAGUGCCAACUUUAAUGUGGAAAGUAAUACUAUUACUCUAAAUCCACAAGACCAUGGACAACAGUACAGCAAGCAGACAUGAAACUUCAUGAGAUGUAAUACGCCAGAGACUAGAAAAUAGGAAGGCAACUCAAGGUCAAGUGAGACACAUCUCUGAAACCUCCAGAAUCUAGCUGAUUCUGGAGGUUGUUUGUUGUAGAAAUGUUACCAACCCCAAGUGUAACACACAUACAGACGACUGGAACUAAAGAAACCAUAACCGAACAAGAAUCAUUACCAGUAGUUAUUAUGUAUUAUGACUAUCCAUGUUUUGUAUUAUAUUUUUGUUCUUUGUCAACCUUGUCUAAGCCUUUAUUUAACAUGUGAGCAAACCAAAUAUCCAUGUUGAAUGACA